AACAGCUGCGGUAUUAUAACUGUACUAAGGUAGCAUAAUAAUUUGCCUUAUAAAUUAGGGCUGGAAUGAAUGGUUUGACGAAAAUUAUACUGUCUCUAUUUUAAUUAUUAGAAAUUAAUUUUUAUAGUGAAAAAGCUUGAAUAAUUUAAAGGGACGAGAAGACCCUAUUGAGCUUUAUGUUGAAUAUAAAUAAUUAUAAAAUAUUAUUUAUUUUUAAUUUUUGGUUGGGGUGAUCAAGGAAUAAAAUUUUUAGUAAAAGUAAUUUCCUUAUUUAUACUAUUUACUUGAAUAAUAAACCAAAAUUUUUGCUUAAAUGAUAAGUUACCAUAGGGAUAACAGCGUAAUUUUUUUAGAGAGUUCUUAUUAAAAAAAAAGAUUGCGACCUCGAUGUUGGAUUAAAAUAACCAUUAGGUGUAGAAGCUUUAUUUGGUAAAUCUGUUCGAUUUUUAAAAUUUU
rnacentral:rRNA from 1 species